ACUGAAUCCAUGAGCGUGAUCUGUGUGGUUAUGUUGCAUAUUAACAUAUAUAUAUAUAUAUAUAAUUGGACAUGCAUUCAUACAUGUGUGUGCAUUUACACAAUUUUAGAUGGUAGAUAGGUAAAAAAGUGUCUCCGGACGUGGUUAACGUUCAUAACUGGAUCUUUUCCAGUAACAAGGGAGUAGCGAGCCGACAUGGAGGGUGCGCAUCUUGAGACUUCAGCAGGGAAUCCCCCACAGGAGACUGCUGUAAAGACUUCGUUUCCAGCUUUUACGGAAAAAUUCUUUUUAUGAACUGACCGUGUGGUACUGUCUAUGUGGAAAGAACGACGUUGCCUUUCACGAGCUUGUACUGCACGUGGAGUCCGUCGGAUCGAUGUCACAGGAACAACCGUGCAUGCGCCAGAAGAGACCGCGACCCCUUUGUGUGAAAAAUCCGAAGCCGAGUCUGCCCCCUGAGGCUUGAGUAUUG
rnacentral:lncRNA from 1 species